AAAUUGAAGAGUUUGAUCAUGGCUCAGAUUGAACGCUGGCGGCAGGCCUAACACAUGCAAGUCGAACGGUAACAGGAAGCAGCUUGCUGCUUUGCUGACGAGUGGCGGACGGGUGAGUAAUGUCUGGGAAACUGCCUGAUGGAGGGGGAUAACUACUGGAAACGGUGGCUAAUACCGCAUAACGUCGCAAGACCAAAGAGGGGGACCUUCGGGCCUCUUGCCAUCAGAUGUGCCCAGAUGGGAUUAGCUUGUUGGUGAGGUAACGGCUCACCAAGGCGACGAUCCCUAGCUGGUCUGAGAGGAUGACCAGCCACACUGGAACUGAGACACGGUCCAGACUCCUACGGGAGGCAGCAGUGGGGAAUAUUGCACAAUGGGCGCAAGCCUGAUGCAGCCAUGCCGCGUGUAUGAAGAAGGCCUUCGGGUUGUAAAGUACUUUCAGCGGGGAGGAAGGUGUUGUGGUUAAUAACCGCAGCAAUUGACGUUACCCGCAGAAGAAGCACCGGCUAACUCCGUGCCAGCAGCCGCGGUAAUACGGAGGGUGCAAGCGUUAAUCGGAAUUACUGGGCGUAAAAGCGCACGCAGGCGGUCUGUCAAGUCGGAUGUGAAAUCCCCGGGCUCAACCUGGGAACUGCAUUCGAAACUGGCAGGCUUGAGUCUUGUAGAGGGGGGUAGAAUUCCAGGUGUAGCGGUGAAAUGCGUAGAGAUCUGGAGGAAUACCGGUGGCGAAGGCGGCCCCCUGGACAAAGACUGACGCUCAGGUGCGAAAGCGUGGGGAGCAAACAGGAUUAGAUACCCUGGUAGUCCACGCCGUAAACGAUGUCUACUUGGAGGUUGUGCCCUUGAGGCGUGGCUUCCGGAGCUAACGCGUUAAGUAGACCGCCUGGGGAGUACGGCCGCAAGGUUAAAACUCAAAUGAAUUGACGGGGGCCCGCACAAGCGGUGGAGCAUGUGGUUUAAUUCGAUGCAACGCGAAGAACCUUACCUGGUCUUGACAUCCACAGAAGAAUCCAGAGAUGGAUUUGUGCCUUCGGGAACUGUGAGACAGGUGCUGCAUGGCUGUCGUCAGCUCGUGUUGUGAAAUGUUGGGUUAAGUCCCGCAACGAGCGCAACCCUUAUCCUUUGUUGCCAGCGGUCCGGCCGGGAACUCAAAGGAGACUGCCAGUGAUAAACUGGAGGAAGGUGGGGAUGACGUCAAGUCAUCAUGGCCCUUACGACCAGGGCUACACACGUGCUACAAUGGCGCAUACAAAGAGAAGCGACCUCGCGAGAGCAAGCGGACCUCAUAAAGUGCGUCGUAGUCCGGAUUGGAGUCUGCAACUCGACUCCAUGAAGUCGGAAUCGCUAGUAAUCGUGGAUCAGAAUGCCACGGUGAAUACGUUCCCGGGCCUUGUACACACCGCCCGUCACACCAUGGGAGUGGGUUGCAAAAGAAGUAGGUAGCUUAACCUUCGGGAGGGCGCUUACCACUUUGUGAUUCAUGACUGGGGUGAAGUCGUAACAAGGUAACCGUAGGGGAACCUGCGGUUGGAUCACCUCCUUA
rnacentral:rRNA from 1 species